UCUAGGUUGGAAAAAAAAUGGGUAAACUGCAAGGCUAAUGACUUCUCCAAAAGUUAAUUGGAGUCAGGUGUUCCAAUCAAUGAGAUUAAAUUGGAGGUGUGGGUUGGAGGUGCCUUGCCCUAUAAAAAAAGCACAAAAGGUUUGGUUACUGACAGUCUGCUCUUCACAAGAAACAUCUGUUCAUGUGUACCAUGCCCUGAAAAAAAAAUUAUUUUCAGAGGACCUAAAAAGAAGAAUUGUUGAUUCAUAACCCUGGAAAGACUAAAAAGCAUCUCUGACUAAAGGCCUGGGAUGAUCCCCGGAUCACCCUCCCCCCAGCGCCCCCAGGGGGCCCCUAAGAGUCUUACUGUGUGGUCCCUCAAAGCACAACCUUUUCGUGGGGUCGGAGGUCAGAGGUGAGCAGAGCGGUGUGUGGGAAACGUGCUGCCGAGCAGGCCCGCGGAGGGAAGCCGCCAGGCUCCGCCACUUCCUCUCUCCCCUCCGCGCCUCGGGAUCCCUCUGCAGAUCGGACCUCAGCCUUUCUGAGUGGCUGAGUGUGAGCGUGCAGGGGCUGGCUGAGCGUGUACCAGGACCCUACGUUGUCUCCAUAAGUCCCAUUUGUGGGGGAGUCAUUAUGUAUUCAUUUAUUGGCUGAUUUCCUGGUAAUCGCCGCCCCCCACCCCUCUUUCAUGCAAGAAGAGGAUAUUGCUGGAUAUAAACAAGAGAAGAACAGAUCAAUAAAAGAAAGUCUCAAUAAAUGUUUUAGCAUUAUAAUGAGGCUUAAAAUCUUUUUCCUCUCUUUCAGUUUCUAUAAAUGGUCCUUCAUAAGUGUGUGCUGUGUUAUAUGUAUGUGUUAUAUGUACCUGUGUCUUGUCACCACUGACAUACCAUACAGGUGCACAGUAUUCGGAAAGUGACAUUUCUAUGACAUGCCAAGUGACGUGCAUCAUAUACAGGAGAUAAAUAGCUGUUAUGAAGGGCCAGUCAUACAAAUUUCUAUGCUUUCUUUUUUACUGCUUCUUCUCAAUUUUGGAAUUUGCGAAUGUGCCUCUCAAGUCACUGCUGUGCCACCCACACCCAUAUAUGGUAAACGCAGACACCGCUUUGCAAACCAGUGACUCUUUCACACCCUAGAGGCUGCAUAGUGUACUACAGGGAACCUAGCGCCAGUAAGAAGAGAGGUAUACGUCCCACUGAUGAAAACCGAUAGCCUGGCACCUUGCAGUGCGUGUUACCACCUGAUUUAUUGGCUGCUAUGUCAGAAUGAAUGUCUACGCAACACAGUUGCCUAACUCUGUUCCUAGAGAUCUACCAUCCUGUAGGUUUUAAUUUCGAUGCUGAUUGACCUGAUUCUACUAAUUAGCAGCCCAGCAAGAUCUCUAGCUGUUGAAAGAGGUGUGUUUGGUUUGGAGUGAGAAGAUCUCCAGGAACAGGGUUGGGCAGCCCUGUGGCGCAGUGAUUUAUCUCUCUGCUGAGUGGUUAGAUAAUGUGCUUUCUUUUUUUUUUUUUUAUUAUGUGCGGCUCAAAAAAUUUUGACCACCUUACUGUUGUUUUUCUGGUGUAGAGGACCCAUAAAGGUUUUGAGUGACAGCAAAGGGGCGUGUGCUGUAACAUACCAAACACAGCUACACAAAACCCUAUACCUGUAUAUAUUUCAGCAUUGCAUAACAUGUACAGCAUUUUUUUGAAGAAGGCAAUGACAGAUUUGCACAGGGUUGCCAGGACACACAGGUAACAGAAACUCCCCCUCUUGUCAUUUCGCAGGGGUUCUUGAGUUAAAAAUCCUUCCAGAAUUUCCAGACUUUUUUGCUUUUGUACAAAAGUACUGCACAAUGCGUUGCUGCUAUGAGAUAAUCAAAUAGAUGCAAAUAAACUUUCACCUGUUUUAAAAUGACAUUUAAAUGUGCAGUUUUAAUGCAAAGCACGCAUGUAAUAUUUUGAAUUCCUGAAAGAUUAAGAGUGUGUUCUUGCCGAAA